GCUGGGCGUGGUGGCGGGUGCCUGUAAUCCCAGCUACUCAGGAGGCUGAGGCAGGAGAAUUGCUUGAACCCAGGAGGCAGAAGUUGCAGUGAGCCGAGAUAGCGCCACUGCACUCCAGCCUGGGUGACAGAGAAAGACUCUGUCUCAA
rnacentral:sRNA from 1 species